rnacentral:tRNA from 1 species
GAGAAUAUAGCUUAGUUGGUAGAGUGCCUGCUUUACAUGCACAAGGCCCUGAGUUCAAUCCCCAGUACUACCA